rnacentral:rRNA from 1 species
GACCUACGGGAGGCAGCAGUGGGGAAUAUUGCACAACGGGGGGAACCCUGAUGCAGCGACGCCGCGUGGGUGAAGGAGCACCUCGGUGCGUAAAGCCCUAUCGGCAGGGGAGAAAAACGAACAGGUUCUCCUGGACGGUACCUGACUAAGAAGCCCCGGCUAACUACGUGCCAGCAGCCGCGGUAAUACGUAGGGGGCAAGCGUUAUCCGGAUUCACUGGGUGUAAAGGGAGC